UACGUAGGGUGCAAGCGUUGUCCGGAAUUAUUGGGCGUAAAGAGCUCGUAGGCGGUCUGUCGCGUCGGAUGUGAAACCCAGGGCUCAACCCUGGGCCUGCAUUCGAUACGGGCAGACUAGAGUUCGGUAGGGGAGACUGGAAUUCCUGGUGUAGCGGUGAAAUGCGCAGAUAUCAGGAGGAACACCAAUGGCGAAGGCAGCUCUCUGGUACGUGACUGACACUGAGACGCGAAAGCGUGGGGAGCGAACAGG
rnacentral:rRNA from 1 species